rnacentral:rRNA from 1 species
CACGUAGGGUGCGAGCGUUGUCCGGAAUUAUUGGGCGUAAAGAGCUCGUAGGCGGUGUGUCGCGUCGGCCGUGAAAACCUGUGGCUUAACUAUGGGCUUGCGGUCGAUACGGGCAUCACUGGAGUUCGGCAGGGGAGACUGGAAUUCCUGGUGUAGCGGUGAAAUGCGCAGAUAUCAGGAGGAACACCGGUGGCGAAGGCGGGUCUCUGGGCCAACACUGACGCUCAUGCACGAAAGCGUGGGGAGCAAACAGG